GACGGCCUUCGGGUUGUAAACCUCUUUCAGCAGGGAAGAAGCGCAAGUGACGGUACCUGCAGAAGAAGCGCCGGCUAACUACGUGCCAGCAGCCGCGGUAAUACGUAGGGCGCGAGCGUUGUCCGGAAUUAUUGGGCGUAAAGAGCUCGUAGGCGGCCUGUCGCGUCAAUUGUGAAAGCCCGGGGCUUAACCCCGGGUCUGCAGUCGAUACGGGCAGGCUAGAGUGUGGUAGGGGAGAUCGGAAUUCCUGGUGUAGCGGUGAAAUGCGCAGAUAUCAGGAGGAACACCGGUGGCGAAGGCGGAUCUCUGGGCCAUUACUGACGCUGAGGAGCGAAAGCGUGGGGAGCGAACAGGAUUAGAUACCCUGGUAGUCCACGCCGUAAACGGUGGGCACUAGGUGUUGGCGACAUUCCACGUCGUCGGUGCCGCAGCUAACGCAUUAAGUGCCCCGCCUGGGGAGUACGGCCGCAAGGCUAAAACUCAAAGGAAUUGACGGGGGCCCGCACAAGCAGCGGAGCAUGUGGCUUAAUUCGACGCAACGCGAAGAACCUUACCAAGGCUUGACAUACAC
rnacentral:rRNA from 1 species